GUAAUUUGUAAAUAGAUUUAAGGUAAGUCCAGUGUAAUGACUACAUUCUUUUAAAGUUAAUAGGCUAUGGCUCCAUAAUGUUAAAUCAUGAGUUUAAGCCUAUUCUCUUUAGAAAUAAAAAGUCAUUUCUAUACGUUCCUCUCAAUUCUCUAUUACACAGGAAGUUACUUCAGGGUGGGGAUUAUAUCUUGGGUCUUUCUAGCACUUCUUAUCCCACCUCAUGUAACCUCCAGCCCCUGUCCUGGCGACAGGCCACGUACCAGAACACACUUAUUUAACUGAAUGACUGGAAAACUUAUUAGCCUUUCUUAUGAUGGAGUCACUUCACAGGGCCCCUUGGGAAAGCUGUGGAAGGCUGUACCAGUUCCAGAAGGCCUGUCGCAUUUUUAAUGGAAUUUCUUUUUCUGUAUUUAUCGCUCUUUCUUUCUAAUUCUGCUCCUUUGGUCCUCACAUCUUGUGGCUUGCAUAGUAACAAGAGGAAAUGCCUGUUACAUGUGCUUCCUGUUGAAACCUAAGUGACAUCACUAGCCUGUAAGGUGCCACGCCUCUAGAUUGUCUCCUAUGAAUGACCAGAAACUGAUAAAGAGUUAUGAACUCUUCUGCCUCUGGGCCUUUGAGCACGCCGUUCCCUCUGCUAGAAAUUCAUCUUGACCCUUCAUUGCGCUGACUCCCAUUCUUCUUCAGUUACUAGUGAGUACUGAUGUCACUUUGACCCUCACCCCAAGCCUAGAUGGGGUCUCGCUGCUAUAGGGGCCUGUAAGCCCUGAUGCUGUUCCUGUUAGAACAUUUAUUCCACUUCAUUUAAUUACUUGUUCUCUUUAGCUUCUCCACUAUGUUCUGUGUGGGCAAAAAA
rnacentral:lncRNA from 1 species